GCCACUGUGGUAUAGUGGUUUGAGCACUGGACUAUGACUCUUGAGACCAGGGUUCGAAUUCCGACUCAGGUG